rnacentral:rRNA from 1 species
CUUGCCCCGAGAUGAGUUCUCCCUGAGACUUAAAGUCUCCUGAAGGAACGUUGAAGACGACGACGUUGAUAGGCCGGGUGUGUAAGCGCAGCGAUGCGUUGAGCUAACCGGUACUAAUGAACCGUGAGGCUUAACCUUACAACGCCGAAG